UGUAAGCCUAAGAAUCCAAGCUAGUUAGCAUUUUCUUCUGCUACCUAUAUAUACAGCUAUGAGGGAAGACUACUAGCUUCUCCUAAGGGAUCAAACUAAUGAAAGGAAUGUUCAUCUAUUUGAUACUGGUACACGGAAACCAUUUAACGAUGGGAGACCAUCUACCCAUAAACAAAAGACUGCUCAUACCGGUGCGCAGUAAAGAAAAGCACGGACGGAUAUGAGCGUGGACGAGUAGGAGCGCGGCACCGAGGUGACUCCUUCACAGAAGAACUCUGAAGAACUCACUCCCACUCCAGGCAACUGGGUCUGAAAUGCGCUCAUGGAUUGAGAAUCUUUUACUAUUUUAUUAUUUCUAUGCUAUUUUACUAUUCUAUUCUAUUUUCAGAUUGAUUAAAAUGAGGAU